rnacentral:rRNA from 1 species
GUGGCGGACGGGUGAGUAACGCGUGGGUAACCUGCCCUGUACAGGGGGAGUAACAGUCAGAAAUGACUGCUAAUACCGCAUAAGACCACAGCACCGCAUGGUGCAGGGGUAAAAACUCCGGUGGUACAGGAUGGACCCGCGUCUGAUUAGCUGGUUGGUGAGGUAACGGCUCACCAAGGCGACGAUCAGUAGCCGGCUUGAGAGGGUGAACGGCCACAUUGGGACUGAGACACGGCCCAAACUCCUACGGGAGGCAGCAUG